rnacentral:rRNA from 1 species
GACGAACGCUGGCGGCGUGCUUAACACAUGCAAGUCGAACGGAAAGGCCUGCUUUCCCUUGUGGAUUGCGGGUACUCGCGUGGCGAACGGGCGAGUAACACGUGAGUGAUCUUCCCCCAACUUGGGUAUAAGCCUGGGAAACUGGGUCUAAUUCCCGAUAGGACUGCAGGGUGGUGCCUGUGGUGGCAAACGAUUUUCUAGUGGUUGGGGAUGAGCUCGCGGCCUAUCAGCUUGUUGGUGGGGUAAUGGCCUACCAAGGCGGCGACGGGUAGCCGGCCUGGGGUGGUGGACGGCCACAUUGGGACUGAGAUACGGCCCAGACUCCUACGGGAGGCAGCAGUGGGGAAUAUUGCACGAUGAGCGGAAGCCUGAUGCAGCGACGCCGCGUGGGGGAUGACGGGCUUCGGGUUGUAAACUCCUUUCGACCGCGAGGAAGCCACCUGGUUGGAAGGGUGGUGACGGUAGUGGUAGAAGAAGCACCGGCUAACUACGUG